rnacentral:rRNA from 1 species
AGAGUUUGAUCCUGGCUCAGGACGAACGCUGGCGGCGUGGAUUAGGCAUGCAAGUCGAACGGUAUCAUCCUUUCGGGGGUGAGAGAGUGGCGAACUGGUGAGUAACACGUAGGUUAUCUACCCUCAAGACGGGGACAACCCAGGGAAACUUGGGCUAAUACCGGAUGUGAGCAACUUUUUAGUUGUUUGAAAGGUGGCGUAAGCUGUCGCUUGGGGAUGAGCCUGCGUCCUAUUAGUUAGUUGGUGAGGUAACGGCUCACCUAGGCAAUGAUAGGUAGGCGGCCUUAACGGGUGGUCGCCCACACUGGGAUUGAGAUACGGCCCAGACUCCUACGGGAGGCAGCAGUCGAGAAUAGUCUACAAUGGUCGGAAGACUGAUAGUGCGACGCCGCGUGAACGAUGAAUCCCUUCGGGGUGUAAAGUUCUUUUAUAUGUGAGCAGUGCUUCUUAUAUUAAGAGUAUGGGGAGAGAGAUAUUAGCAUAUGAAUAAGCAACGGCUAACUCCGUGCCAGCAGCCGCGGUAACACGGGGGUUGCGAGCGUUGUCCGGAAUUACUAGGCGUAAAGGGCAGGCAGGCGGAUCCAUAAGUUUAUCGUUUAAGGCGUCGGCUUAACCGGCGUAGGGCGGUAGAUACUGUGGAUCUGGAAUGCGGUUGGGGAAGACAGAAUUCCUGGUGUAGCGGUGGAAUGCGCAGAGAUCAGGAGGAAUACCGAAGGCGAAGGCAGUCUUCCAAGCCGUUAUUGACGCUCAACUGCGAAGGUGUGGGUAUCAAACAGGAUUAGAUACCCUGGUAGUCCACACAGUAAACGAUAAUCACUGGGUG